AUCUAGCCGACGUGUCCCAAAUGGUACGAAACGCGUGUCCUGAAU
rfam:Schistosoma rodhaini strain Burundi genome assembly, scaffold: SROB_scaffold0015467